AAAUGUCGAUGAUGAUUGUGAUUGGUGGUAAUGAUGAUAACUGAUGAUAACGAUGAUCUUCAUCAUCACAAUCUCGUAUUCACUCAUG